rnacentral:rRNA from 1 species
CUAAGAAUCUUCCACAAUGGACGAAAGUCUGAUGGAGCGACGCCGCGUGGGUGAUGAAGGCGGUAACGUUGUAAAGCCCUUUUAUAGGCGAGGAAUAAGAUCAGGAGGGAAUGCCUGGUCGAUGACGGUAGCUUAUGAAUAAGCCCCGGCUAAUUACGUGCCAGCAGCCGCGGUAACACGUAUGGGGCGAGCGUUGUUCGGAAUUAUUGGGCGUAAAGGGUGCGCAGGCGGUUAUACAAGUCUGGUGUUAAAUCCCGCAGCUUAACUGCGGACGGGCAUUGGAAACUGUAUGACUAGAGUUUUUGAGGGGUAGCUGGAAUUCCAGGUGUAGGGGUGAAAUCUGUAGAUAUCUGGAAGAACAUCAAUGGCGAAGGCAAGCUACUGGCAAUAAACUGACGCU